rnacentral:rRNA from 1 species
ACACGACUACAUUAGAUACCCCGGUAGUCCCAGCCCUAAACGAUGCGCGUUAGGUGUAUCGGUGACCACGAGUCACCGAGGUGCCGAAGGGAAACCGUGAAACGUGCCGCCUGGGAAGUACGGUCGCAAGGCUGAAACUUAAAGGAAUUGGCGGGGGAGCACCGCAACGGGAGGAGCGUGCGGUUCAAUUGGAUUCAACGCCGGACAACUCACCAGGAGCGACGGUUACAUGAAGGCCAGGCUGAUGACCUUGCCUGAUUUUCCG